AAAACCUACGGGACGCAGCAGUGAGGAAUAUUGGUCAAUGGGCGGAAGCCUGAACCAGCCAAGUCGCGUGAGGGAAUAAGGCCCUACGGGUCGUAAACCUCUUUUGCCGGGGAGCAAGGGCGGGGACGUGUCCCGGCCCGGAGAGUACCCGGGGAAAAAGCAUCGGCUAACUCCGUGCCAGCAGCCGCGGUAAUACGGAGGAUGCGAGCGUUAUCCGGAUUUACUGGGUGUAAAGGGCGUGUAGGCGGGAAAGAAAGUCAGAUGUGAAAACCACGG
rnacentral:rRNA from 1 species